AGAGAGAGAGAGAGAGAGAAUUUAACUUGUUCUGGUUACAAGAACUCCUAAGCAACUAGGUUUCUCUGUAAAAGCAUUGCAAAAACACCUGAAAAGGUACUUUCUUGGACAAAUUUUCAACCUCAGUGCUAAAUAUACACUCAAAACUUUUUAAUAUUCAGAGGCAUGAGCAUAAAAAAUCACUUUGAGCAAGAUAAGAGUCCACCAAGAUAUCUAAAAUGCAAAGAGAACUACAUAACAAAAAAAGAAAAAAAAAAUCAUAGUGAACACUAAAAGAAAUAUAAGAAACUCUGACCUGAUCCACUCAAUCUCAAUAUGCAUUGUAGAAUCAAAUCAAUUUCUACUUCAACCCGAAAAUGGUAUAAAAUAAACACUUCGAAUGGAUAUGGGUUAACAUAGACAGUGUUGAUAAUCAAUUCACUAAAAUAUAGAAGAACACAAACUUCUUGCAAAUCAAAGUCAAGUAAAUUGCAGAUACACGAAAUUCUCAAGAAGCAACAGAGGAAUUAGACAGCCUAAGGCACUCAUUUUGGCACCUCUUUAAACAGACAUCAUUCCAAUUGGGUACUUGAUGUUGAUUAACACAAACAGUUCUUGCACAAGCAUCAGCACAAGCAUCAAGUUCAGAAACACCACAAACAGUGACACAAGAAUCAACAGUUGGGUCUUUAGAAAAAGCACCAACCUUUUUUAACAUCCUUUUCGAAGUGCAUACCCUUUCACAAACAAAAAUUUCAUCAGAGCUUUUUUCACGUCCUCUAGCACUCUUUAACCUUUGCUCUUCAACACUCUUCUUCUUCAUUCUGAAAGCUUGACCUGCAAUUAUGGCUGGUAUGGCCGCACCUAACAGAGCCCACCAUGGAUCCACCAUUGCAAAGCAGUAGCGGCGGCAGCGGUGGCGCUGGGGGGCGAUGUAAGCGGGAAGUUGCGCUUGCGGCGGUGGGAUUAAAAGGCAAUGGAGAGAAGCGUAAACUCGUCGGUCCAAGGGGUGUUUGGUUUAAACGUGCGAUACAGGUGAU
rnacentral:misc_RNA from 1 species